GAUGAAGAACGUAGCGAAAUGCGAUAAGUAAUGUGAAUUGCAGAAUUCAGUGAAUCAUCGAAUCUUUGAACGCACAUUGCGCCCGCCAGUAUUCUGGCGGGCAUGCCUGUUCGAGCGUCAUUUCAACCAUCAAGCCCCCGGCUUGUGUUGGGGACCUGCGGCUGCCGCAGGCCCUGAAAAGCAGUGGCGGGCUCGCUGUCACACCGAGCGUAGUAGCAUACAUCUCGCUCUGGGCGUGCUGCGGGUUCCGGCCGUUAAACCACCUUCAUAACCCAAGGUUGACCUCGGAUCAGGUAGGAAGACCCGCUGAACUUAAGCAUAUCAAUAAGGAGGA
rnacentral:misc_RNA from 1 species